CAGGUGGUGUUGGAGUGGGUCUUUAAAUCAUUCCUGCAGUUGGAAGGGGGCGAAUAUACAGCAGAUCGACACUUAAGACAUGAAAGAGCAGCCCGAUUUGGAGAAAGGAGGCAUUUGGACGUCUAUUUGAGGAAUGCUCUUAUCAUGGAUCACACCACAAUGACCAAGAUGACUUCUCUGCUGAGCAUGCUUCUUCUUUUAUGUUAGAACAUGCCGACACCAGUCCAACGGUUCAGAGUCCAGACACCGAUUGCUUUCCCAGCGACGUUGACUUAGCGGGCCAGCGGACAAAGCCUCCACCGUCUUUCCAGCUGUUGCUGCUGCUGUUUGGAGUCUCGUGAAGAGGAGGCAGCUGUACAAGCACAGCCUCCUUAUCUUCUGCCAUGGACCUUGCAGGGGGUACGAGAUGAAUUCACAAAGGACAAUAGCCAUGGAUGGCCUGUAAUACCGUAGGCAGAGAUAUAAUCAAACAUUAAAUGUUAUAGGAGAUAUAAUGCCGUCUGGAAAAGGAAAUUUGAUGACCACAAGUUUUACGACAAACGCUGUCUCGUCUGGUUGGAAGACUUGAUGUUGUACAGCAACGAUUCCCAAACACCCAUGGGGGUGUGAGAAAAGCGUUUAGUACUUGUUAUGAGGGUGGGCGUGGGGGUGAGGUGGUGCACUCUCUCUGUCGAGAUGUUGAGGAGGUUCAAAAAGUCUCUCGUAAAAGGCCCACAUUAAAAAGCAGUUGUGUCGUACGCCAAAGUGAGAGAGAGUUUGAACCUUAUUAUUGCAUAUAAAUAUAUGACAGCGAGGCCCCCCACCGAAAAGGGGAUGCGUCAACUCCGUCAGUUGCGUGGCUUAGAAAGUUUGAAAUAUAAGGCUGUUAUAAAAGCUUUUCUGCACUUUUUUUAAGAAAGAGAAAGGGUGCAACAACUAUUGAAAAAAUGCAAUUUUAUCCUUUUUUGAGGGGAUACGAGGGGGAGUGGGAGCAACAACUGUUAGAUUAUAGAAAGGGGUGCGUGCCUAAUGAAUUUGUGAAAGGCUGUCAUAUAUUACAUGUGUCAGAAUUAUCUCACAAUCCUUGGUCAAUAAAUUCCAUAUGAAUCA